AGGUUGUGCGCCGGCUGCCUUUGGGCCUGGAUGCGCGUUUGAGGGGCCGCAGGGGAUGGUGUUCGUCCUCGUCCGGAAUGGGCACGGAGCAGCCGGAUGAUGAAAAGGCACCUGGCACUUGGAGGACCGAUGCAGUGGGCUGCCUGUGCGCUUGUUCUUCUGAAGGAUGGGUGGACCGGGACUCUGGGCCCCUUGAAAGCUAA